UAUUCUCUGCCGUUUCAGAGAGCUUUAACCGAUCAGAGGAUCCAAACAGGAGUGUUUAAUUAGCCACGACAUGUUAGAGUUAACUGACCGCGAUUGUCUUGCGGAAGUUUCUUGGAUCAGAAGGAUCUUCAAAAGGAUCUUCACACGUGGAGCUGCGCUGCCAUCUAACAGCGUAUUCUCGAGCUUCAAAUCUCUGUGGCAGAUUUGCUUUGGAAACAAACAAACAAAAAACAGACCCCUUCAAUUCCCGGGGAAAAUAUACAUACGGGGAGAAAUGAAUAAGAAAACGAGGUGUGAUGCGAAUCAAUCACCAGAGAGUGACAGUAACUGACUCCGGACACGAGCUGCUGGAAGAAGAACCUCGCCUGGCACAGACAGACAACGUGAAUGUAAUGGACGAGUUUCUAAUGUGUGUAGUAUGGCAAGAAGAAGAUGAAGGACCUCGUCUUCACUGAAUCGGCCGGCGCUGCAGAUUCUUUCGAACAGUUCUCCUCCCUCC